AGAAACUGCCUGUUCAAGAAAUCUGGAAGUGCAGGAAGCAGAGGGAAUCUUGGGCAGCCUCAUAGUAAUUUUCGAUAGUAUACUGGGACUUGCAAGUCCUGUCCCAGCUACUGCUGGAGAAGAGUGGCUUCUCUUUCUCUUCCCCUUCCAAAUCCUGGUGAGAUCCCUUCCUUUGAAGCGUCUGACCUGGAAUCCUAGUGAGACUAAAUUAUGAGUUCCAAUUCUGGGUAGGGCUUUCAAAAUAGAGCCCUGACCAGUGCUGAAUCAACUUGAAGAAUGAUGAAGGGUUGGCUUCUCUCUCUCAGCAGCUGUGAGUUUGGUCAGCCCUUUGCAAAGUAAGAGGAAAUUUAAUGAACCUAAAUAAGACAUGAUCCUUUGUGGCUAUAAAAGUUACACUUUGAAAAAAGCUCAGCUGGUCAAGAGCCACUUGAAAAUGAUGUUACUGCAGGGGAACUCUGUCAAAAGUCUACUCCUCUUGAUUUCCUCCUAGGCACUUUUGUCUGAACCACGUGGCACAAAUUGGCAGAGAACAAGGAAAAGAAGAACAGAGGAAGGAGAAAAGGAGAAAAGUCAUUCUGCUGAAAAC
ensembl:lncRNA novel transcript